GGGUCCAGGCCCUACGGGGCGCAGCAGGCGCGAAACCUCCGCAAUGCGGGAAACCGCGACGGGGGGACCCCGAGUGCCGUGGCAACGCCACGGCUUUUCCGGAGUGUAAAAAGCUCCGGGAAUAAGGGCUGGGCAAGGCCGGUGGCAGCCGCCGCGGUAAUACCGGCGGCCCGAGUGGUGGCCGCUAUUAUUGGGCCUAAAGCGUCCGUAGCCGGGCCCGUAAGUCCCUGGCGAAAUCCCACGGCUCAACCGUGGGGCUUGCUGGGGAUACUGCGGGUCUUGGGACCGGGAGAGGCGGGGGGUACCCCUGGGGUAGGGGUGAAAUCCUAUAAUCCCAGGGGGACCGCCAGUGGCGAAGGCGCCCCGCUGGAACGGGUCCGACGGUGAGGGACGAAGGCCAGGGGAGCAAACCGGAUUAGAUACCCGGGUAGUCCUGGCUGUAAAGGAUGCGGGCUAGGUGUCGGGUGAGCCUCGAGCUCGCCCGGUGCCGUANGGAAGCCGUUAAGCCCGCCGCCUGGGGAGUACGGCCGCAAGGCUGANCUUAAAGGAAUU
rnacentral:rRNA from 1 species